rnacentral:lncRNA from 1 species
CAACUACACUUGAGGGAGGAAAGUGCAGGACACCGAGGGGACCUGUGUCUUGUGUUUCAGAUGGUGAGUGGAGAUUUGGGAAGCCUUGUAGAGAAGUCCUGUAUUCUGUUUCCUUUCCUUCCUUCCUUCCUUCCUUCCUUCCUUCCUUCCUUCCUUCCUUCCCUCCUUCCUUCCUUCCUUCUUUUUUCCCUCCCUCCCUCCCUCCCUCCCUCCCUUCCUUCCUUCCUUCCUUUCUUCCUUCCUUCCUUCCUUCCCAUGGUUUCCCUCUGUCACCCAGGCUGGAGUACAGUGGCACGAUCUCAGCUCACUGAAGCCUUACCUACUGGGCUCAAGCGAUCCUCCCACCUCAGCCUCGCACAUAGCUGGGACUACAGUAUAGAAACUUGAUACCUCCCUGCAAGCUGAGGGAGCAGGCUCCGGCCUUGGCCAGCCCAGAAAGGGGAUCCCACAAUGCAGCGGUGGGCUGAAGUGUUCCUCAAGUGCCGCCAAAGUGGGAGCCCAGGCAGAGGAGGCGCCGAGAGCGAGUGAGGGCUGUGAGGACUGCCAGCACGCUGUCACCUCUCAACACUGCGGUGCUGAUAAUGACACUUCCUGAUAAUUAGGAAUGUGGAGCCAAGAUGGCCGAAUAGGAACAGCUCCGGUCUACAGCUCCCAGCGUGAGCGACGCAGAAGAUGGGUGAUUUCUGCAUUUCCAUCUGAGGUUUUUCCCAUGGUGUUCCCUUUCCAAUGUCUUUCUGGAAGUCACACAUUGACCACUAACAACAGGAGAGAGGACAAAGAAAGGCAGCAAAAGACUAUUUCCAAUGCGAAAUAUGAUCAGACGAUUCUUCUUCCAGUGUGCCCCAAGGAAGCCAAAAGAUUGGACACCCCUGGAAACUCAUCAGUCAGAGGAGAUGUGAGUGAGAGGCCUCAAGUGACCCUUUCUGGAAAUUCUUCCAUAUGAAAACAUGGGAGGAGGGAGGUUUCCUAUGUAGGAACCACAUGUGCAAAAAUGGCAAAAGAAAGAGAGGAGCAAGAGAUCCGCUUAUGAUAAUCCAACAAAACGAUAACUGGAACAGAAAAGAAAACGACGGCCAAUCAAACCCCUGAGUGACUCCACAUUGUCUUUAAUUCUCCUCUAAUCAAAGAGCAGCACACAGUUGUGAGAGGUGGUCCGAGCCGGGGAGAUUAUGCAGAGAGUGACUCCAUUCAGAGAAAUUUUGGCAUGAUUCCUAACCUCUUAGCCUGAGGGAGAAUUUCUUAAAUUUUAUUUGUGGUUCUCACCUGAGAGAAUUGAUGCCUUCAAGAGAGCACCAGACAGAGGCUAAACAGACAUGCAAUAAAAUUAUCCUCCUUGGAUGGGUCAGGAGCUGGCUGAUAACUUACUCUAAGCCUACAUCAAUCAGGGAGCAGCAGGGGCAUCCACAGUCAAGGAGAGCUGAAGGUGGCAGGGCGUACAGCCGCAGAUCAUCUUAAAUAAAGAUAUAGAAGGCAGACUCUCAUAAAAGAAACCAUAAAUGAAACAAUGAAUAACGACUUCUGUUUAUCAUUCUCUAUUGUUUGCAACUUUCACAAUAAGCGUGUAUUGUUUUCUUAAAUAAAUAGCAAACAAUAAACUCAUAUUGAUAUGGCAUCAAUUUUCACUGAAU